UUUCAAUAAAGAAGAAUUUGAACAAUUUAUUUUUUUAUUUCUGAGCUUGUAAAACUUAUCUGCUUGGGGCUGGCUGUAAGAAAGAGGAAAUUUUGUUUGAGAAGGAACUAAUUGAGAAAC